UCCACCGAAGUGCCUGACGCUCCUAACAGGACAACAGGCGGCGAUGUUUCCUCGGUUUGUGUUCUCCGCCUACGGGGGCAACGUAUUAUGUCCCGACGUUCAGGAGGAUUCUAACGGGGACGGACACUGUCCUUCCUCAAGCACCGAAGCGGGGUUUCGGGCACCGGCGCCGCCACUAGACGCCUCGGGGCGGAGCCCAGACUGGCCGUGGGGCGUCCUCGCGAGCGGCGCGCUCCCUAAAGUGGGACGCGAGCGCGAGCCCCGCCGCGUUUGUUGAGGAGAAAGUCGUAAUACGGUGGUUCCUCCAGGAGUCAACAGCCCCCCCAUCCUUCUUGGUGCCCUGUUUGACAUGGCUACAAAGAAGAAGCGAAGAAGAACGGAAGACGAAAACCGUG